GACGAACGCUGGCGGCGUGCUUAACACAUGCAAGUCGUACGGUAAGGCCCUUUCGGGGGUACACGAGUGGCGAACGGGUGAGUAACACGUGAGUAACCUGCCCACAACUUUGGGAUAACGCUAGGAAACUGGUGCUAAUACUGGAUAUGUGCCCCUGCUGCAUGGUGGGGGUUGGAAAGCUCCGGCGGUUGUGGAUGGACUCGCGGCCUAUCAGCUUGUUGGUGGGGUAGUGGCCUACCAAGGCGGCGACGGGUAGCCGGCCUGAGGGUGACCGGCCACAUUGGGACUGAGAUACGGCCCAGACUCCUACGGGAGGCAGCAGUGGGGAAUAUUGCACAAUGGGCGCAAGCCUGAUGCAGCAACGCCGCGUGCGGGAUGACGGCCUUCGGGUUGUAAACCGCUUUCAGCAGGGACGAAGCUUUUUGUGACGGUACCUGCAGAAGAAGCACCGGCUAACUACGUG
rnacentral:rRNA from 1 species